CUACCGGGGGCUCCAGUGAGGAAUAUUGCACAAUGGGGGGAGCCCUGAUGCAGCAACGCCGCGUGGAGGAUGACGCAUUUCGGUGUGUAAACUCCUUUUAUAUGUCAAGAAAAUGACGGUAGCAUAUGAAUAAGCACCGGCUAACUCCGUGCCAGCAGCCGCGGUAAUACGGAGGGUGCAAGCGUUACUCGGAAUCACUGGGCGUAAAGGACGCGUAGGCGGGUUGGAAAGUCAGGUGUGAAUCCUACAGCUUAACUGUAGAACUGCACUUGAAACUUCUAAUCUAGAGUAUGGGAGGGGGAGAUGGAAUUAGUGGUGUAGGGGUAAAAUCCGUAGAUAUCACUAGGAAUACCUAAAGCGAAGGCGAUCUCCUGGAACAUUACUGACGCUAAGGCGUGAAAGCGUGGGGAGCAAACAGGACUAGAUACCCCAGUAGUC
rnacentral:rRNA from 1 species